CUGGAAUUUGUAUUCGAGGUUUGAAGCUGGCUCUUUCGGGAGUAUUUGUGCUCGCCUUGAUUCCAAUCCAUCCUUCACACCUGUGCACAUAUUGUAGUUUUGGGUUUUGUUGAGUGUGGUACAAACACACACUUCAUUUCCUGACUCUACGUAUUUUUACAUAUACUCUAUUAUAUGUUUAGAAUGUUAUUAUUUGCGAAAUAAAUAAAAACGCAAUUUAUAAA
rnacentral:misc_RNA from 1 species